GACGAACGCUGGCGGCGUGCUUAACACAUGCAAGUCGAACGAUGAAGAAAAGACUCGAAGCUUCGGCAGAAAUUCAUUUCGGAUUAGUGGCAGACGGGUGAGUAACGCGUGAGCAACCUACCUCUUACAAAGGGAUAGCCUCGGGAAACCGGGAUUAAUACCAUAUAACAUUGUGACGAAGCAUUUCGAUGCAAUCAAAGCUACGGCGGUAAGAGAUGGGCUCGCGUCCCAUUAACCGGAUGGUGAGGUAACGGCUCACCAUAGUGACGAUGGGUAACCGGGCUGAGAGGGUGAACGGUCACACUGGAACUGAGACACGGUCCAGACUCCUACGGGAGGCAGCAGUGGGGAAUAUUGCACAAUGGAGGGAACUCUGAUGCAGCGACGCCGCGUGAGUGAUGAAGGAAUUCGUUUCGUAAAACUCUGUUCUAUGGGAAGAAAAGGACUGUACCAUAGGAGAAAGCUCCGGCUAAAUACGUG
rnacentral:rRNA from 1 species